AAUUGUCAGAGUAUACCUCAUUGAGAUGGCAUUUAAGCUGAUACCUGAAGGAAGUGAAUGCUAUAAUUUAUAAAUAAAAACUUUCACCUUUUUUUCUUUGCAGAAAAACAGAAAAGAGAAUUAGGUGGCUUUUUGUUCAGUAAUUUGAACUUUGCUGACCCAAACAGAAGAAAGAAAUCUCUUGUUGGUUCACUCCUUGACCUUGGAUUUAAUGCUCGCGAAAGGGCUGAAGAUCGGUGGAGAAAACAUCGAGAUACUGAUAGUUUAGUGUUAAAAGACACUCCAGCAGGUACUGUUAGAGAAAAAUGCUUACCUAGGAAACAAGUGCUUUUUUUCAUUUAGGACAACCUGAUACUUUUUGUAUUAUUUGCAGCACAUGGCCUUAAUAUUAAUAGUGG
rnacentral:lncRNA from 1 species